UACGGGGGGGGCAAGCGUUGUUCGGAAUUACUGGGCGUAAAGGGUGCGUAGGCGGUCCGCUAAGUUAGAUGUGAAAACUCUGGGCUCAACCCAGAGCCUGCAUCUAAUACUGACGGGCUAGAGUUCUGGAGGGGGUAGCGGAAUUCCUGGUGUAGCGGUGAAAUGCGUAGAUAUCUGGAGGAACACCGGUGGCGAAGGCGGCAUCCUGGACCAACACUGACACUGAGGAGCGAAAGCCAGGGGAGCAAACGGG
rnacentral:rRNA from 1 species